GAAGCCAGAAGACCUGCCAGCCCUCGAGCAGGCGGGCGGAGCGUAGCCCAGCGUUGCAACACUCCCCUCUUCAGAGUCGCAGCCACCCAAGUAGUAUUUGAUUUGAAUUCCUGCUAUGCCAGUUUACAGAAGUCAUGAAAUACCGUGUAAUAACCAACAUUCCAACGGGAUGAUAGUCUGAGCUGUUGAAAUUUACGAACUUGGUUUUUGGAGAUGGGAAAUCUCUGAAGGAUUUUGAACUCUAAACAGGGUUUAGCGAGUGGAAUUCUAAGGAGGAGUUUAUCUUCAUGUCCUUGACCAGGAGGCCCAACUUAGUGAGGAGAUAUCCUUGGCCUUGCCUUGGCAAGUUCUGCAGCCUCCAUCUCACCUGGACCACAUCUAGGACCCGGACUAGGGCACUGUUGCUGAAGCCUCUGCAUAGAACUUUCUGUUUGGGUCAUUGCAAUGACAUUAUCAGAGAACUGCCGCUGCUCUUCCUGCAAGCUCAGCAUGGUGCUCUUGCUCUAUACCACAUGGAGUCCCUAGAUACAGACUCAAAUGUUUCCUCUUUUCAGAAAGAAAGCUGGGGAGGAAAUAGUCUGAAGUGCAAAAGAAGAAAAAACACAAAAUGAACCAGCACUUCCAAGGUAAGCCUUUUCCUGCUUAUAAUAACCUUGUUUCAAGUGCUUAACUUUGAACUGUGAUAACCUCGUUUUCUAGAGCAGUAAUUAUUAAAAGUGACAUCUAUUAUUCAAAGAACUUAGGCCCCUACUUUUAUUAGUGUUAUGUUCCAGAUAAAUUAAUGAACUAGUCUCUGGCUUGUUUGAAUCUUCACUGCAUAAUUACAACACAAUCAAAGAUAGGGUUUAUAGAUGGAAGCAAAGGUCUCAGAGAUUUUUGCUUACACAUUUAUACAAAAGCCCUCUAUUUCCAAAUAACCCAUUUCGACGGGUUGAUAUUUUCUGGUAAAUAUAAAUAAAUCUUAAUUAUGAACUAAUACUAAUUAUGUUUAUAGCACAAAGUGAAACUGUUAAAUUUAUAAAAAAAAUACAGCAUCAAGAAAGAGCUUAUAUAAUAAAGAGCAAAC